UGUGUGUGUGUGUAUAUGUGUGUGUGUAUGUGUAUAUAUAUACACAUACACACAUAUAUAUACACAUACACACACACACACA
rnacentral:miRNA from 1 species